UCAGACAUGGUGUUGUGGCGACACGGCCUCUUCAAAUAUGUUUGUAUCAAAUACAUCGGGGGCAUUCCGGGGUUCGAUUCCCUGUGUCCGAA